rnacentral:misc_RNA from 1 species
AAAGUCGUAACAAGGUCUCCGUUGGUGAACCAGCGGAGGGAUCAUUACAGAGUUGCAAAACUCCCAACCAUUGUGAACCUACCUCACCGUUGCUUCGGCGGGUGGCCCGCUAACCCGGCGCCGCGCCGGUCUCCCCUUCGGGGGGGCCGGCAACCCGUCAGAGGACCGAAACUCUUAGUCAUCUUGGCCUCUCUGAGUAACUUAUACAAUAAGUCAAAACUUUCAACAACGGAUCUCUUGGUUCUG